rnacentral:rRNA from 1 species
AUACGUAGGUGGCAAGCGUUGUCCGGAAUUAUUGGGCGUAAAGCGCGCGCAGGUGGUCCUUUAAGUCUGAUGUGAAAGCCCACGGCUCAACCGUGGAGGUGCAUUGGAAACUGGGGGACUUGAGUGCAGAAGAGGAUAGUGGAAUUCCAAGUGUAGCGGUGAAAUGCGUAGAGAUUUGGAGGGACACCAGUGGCGAAGGCGACUGUCUGGUCUGUAACUGACACUGAGGCGCGAAAGCGUGGGGAGCAAACAGGAUUAGAUACCCUGGUAGUCCACGCCGUAAACGAUGAGUGCUAAGUGUUGGGGGGUUUCCGCCCCUCAGUGCUGCAGCUAACGCAUUAAGCACUCCGCCUGGGGAGUACGGUCGCAAGACUGAAACUCAAAUGAAUUGACGGGG